rnacentral:rRNA from 1 species
ACGGAAGGCAGCAGUGGGGAAUAUUGCACAAUGGGCGAAAGCCUGAUGCAGCGACGCCGCGUGAGGGAUGACGGCCUUCGGGUUGUAAACCUCUUUCAGUACCGACGAAGCGCAAGUGACGGUAGGUACAGAAGAAGCACCGGCCAACUACGUGCCAGCAGCCGCGGUAAUACGUAGGGUGCAAGCGUUGUCCGGAAUUACUGGGCGUAAAGAGCUCGUAGGCGGUUUGUCACGUCGACUGUGAAAUCUCAUGGCUCAACUGUGAGCGUGCAGUCGAUACGGGCAGACUUGAGUACUGCAGGGGAGACUGGAAUUCCUGGUGUAGCGGUGAAAUGCGCAGAUAUCAGGAGGAACACCGGUGGCGAAGGCGGGUCUCUGGGCAGUAACUGACGCUGAGGAGCGAAAGCAUGGGUAGCGAACAGGAUUAGAUACCCUGGUA